UUUCCUUUUUUUUUUUUUUUUUUUUUUUUUUUAAGUAACCUACACAAGCUGUUUAUCCAGUGUGUAUUUCCAAAGUCACCCAAAAACAUGUCUCAGAACUAUGAGCAGCUUCUUGCUCACAUCCUCAGACUUGACUUCAAUUUACCAGUCAUGUCAUUGAGACCCAAGUCAAUGCCAAGGAGUCUGUGGCCCUUUUUGAGUAGUGUUACAAAAUGAGACAAUGGUUCAAUGUGCAAUAUGCCUGACGUCAAAUCCUGCCCAUCCAGGGAGCCUGUGCCCAGGUUAUUGAGAAACAACAAAUGCUUGAUGUCUAAAAAGAAAUGGAUCAAAGCAUUGUCCCCUCCUCGUUUUGACCAGCAUCUGUAUCCUAAUGGUAUGUUUGCCAAGCAUGGUUUUGUCCUCAGAUACAGCUUGGUUGGUCUAUUUGUUGGAAGCCGUUCUCCCAUCUGCUUUCAGUGCUGUUUAUCAUCCCUCUUAAACCUAAACCAUUGAUGUGGUCACAUUAUAUGUACCAAUAUCAAAUAAAAAAUUAAUAGCAAUGUGUAUUCCUUGAAAUACUCAGAGAUUGUAUUAUACUUAUAGCUAUACCAAGGUACCUGAGGUUGUUACUGCUGUCUUAGCAUCUAUGGCUUAUUAUUGGAACCUUGAUAUACACACAUGUAUGUAUAUUGGUAUGCAUUUGAGUUUGUCCGCCCCAACUUGCAUUCCCACACAAUUGCCAUUUUUAAGUUCAAGGGAGCAAUGUACAAGCAGAGAAGUGUCUUAUUAUAAUAAAAAGUAUACAGAGAAAAAGUUAAAUAAAAAUCUUUUGUUUUAAUGGAA